GUUGCCAUAUAACUCAUAAUAUUUUAUUUUUCUUAUGCACAAAUUAAGGAAUUAUAUACUACUACCAUACAAUUUAUAGGAUAACCUAUUAUACGGGUUGUCUAUUAACUCAUCUCAAGAUUACGUGUAAAUGCAUGAGACUACGACACCCAUGUGCUUCCCUAACGAGGCAAGAACCUCAGUCGUCAGCCCUCUGCUGGCUCCAUUUUGAGAGGAUAUAAAACAGAUACCGUUUUCUUCACAUGGACCCAAAAAGACAACCAAAUAAGCCCAAAGACUUCUACAACCACAGAAGCCUGAGUACCAAUCCGGCCCAGCCCAUAAACACUUCAGGCCACGCCGAGCAAGAGGGCCGACGGCUCAAAUCCACCUAACUCUCCGCUUUGCCGCCACUCUGAAACGGCCAAUCCCCCCGAAACCGCCGGCUCGCCGCCCCCGAACCCAGCAUGCCGCCGCCGCCGCCGCCGCACGCGGCACACAUGCUCGCCGCCGCCGCGUCCCUCAGAGCCGCGGCCUCCGCGAUGGCCGAAGCGGGCGGCGACCCGGCCGUCCUCCACGCGGUCCUUGUCAAGACCGCCUCGUCCUCCCGCGCCGCCUACAACUUCCUCCUCUCCCGCUACCCGCCGUCGCUCUCGCUGCCCCUGCUCUCCCGCCUCCCCUUCCGCCCCACCGCCGCCUCGCUCACCUCCUAUCUCUCCUCCGAAUCCUCUUCCUCCCCUUCCUCCGCACUCCCACUCCUACGUCGCGUCCUCGGCGUGUCGCCGGCCUUCCUCGCCGACGGCCCGCUCUCCUCCCUCCUCCGCUCCAUGCCGCCGCCCCUCGCGCCACACCUGCACGCCCUCGCCUUCAAGCUCGCCCUCUCCUCGUCCCCCUACUCCGCCUCUUGCCUUAUUACUCUGUAUUUCCGAUUCCGGUCCCCCACGGCCGCCCGCCGCCUGUUCGAUGAAAUCCCCGUUCGAGAUCGGGACCCCGUCUGCUACUCUUCCACAAUCGUUGGGCUCGCGCAGAAUGGGCAAUACGAAGAAUCUCUCUCCGUGUUUGCUGGUAUGCGCUCAAAUGCUGUUGAUUCAACCAUGUACGCACUGUCCGGUGCUCUGCGGGCGGCAGCGGGGCUUGCUGCGCUGGAGCAGACUUGCGGGAUUCAUGCACAUGCGGUGGUGGUUGGGCUUGAUGGAAAUGUGGCUGUUGGGACUGCUCUGGUGGAUGCUUAUGGUAAGGCCGGAGUCAUGGACGAUGCAGUGAAGGUGUUUGAGGGGUUGGGGGAUGACCGAAACUUGAUCACCUGGAAUGCAGUGCUGUCUGCGCACGCUCAGCAGGGAGAUGUGCCAGCAGUUGUUGAGCUGUUUAACCGGAUGAUGGAACUGGGGUUUGCCCCUGAUGGGCUGUCGUUCCUUGCUAUUCUCACAGCAUGUAGUAAUGCUGGAGCAGAUGCUGAGGCUGAAUUUUGGUUGGAAGCAAUGCAGUCGAAGUACAAUGUGAAGCCUGGCAUUGAGCAUUAUACUUGUGUGGUGGGUGCAAUGGCACGGGUUGGACGUCUGGAGGAUGCAGAGAGUGUUGCUUGUAAAAUGCCAUGCAAGCCGGAUGCAGCAGUGUGGCGGACGCUUCUAAUGGGCUGUGUGGUUCACCGCAAGGUUGACAUGGCAGAAUCCAUGGGACGACGCCUUUUGGACAUUAAUCCCAAGGAUGACUCAACUUAUGUCAUGCUUGCCAAUGUCUACUCAGCAGCAGGGAAAAAAGAUGAGGAGGCUGCGUCAUGGACUGCAAUGAGGGACUGUGGAGUCAGGAAGGAAGGUGGUCGCAGUUGGAUUGAGGGUAGAGGGCAGGUACAUGUGUUUGUCGCGAAUGAAAAAAGGCACGAACAGCUACUAGAGAUAUAUGACAAGCUGAACGAAUUGAUCCAAGAGGUUGAGAAGUUAGGGUACAAGGAGGCAGGCGAGGGGUCCUGGCAUCAUAGUGAAAGGUUGGCCCUCGCAUAUGGGUUGAUAAGUGGUGCUGUACCAUCAGGAAAAGUGUUGAGAAUAGUUAAGAACUUGAGAAUAUGUGCUCAUUGUCAUGAAUUCUUCAAGUAUGCUAGCAUGGUGAUCGACAGAGUAAUUGUAGUAAGGGAUGUCAAUAGGUACCACACGAUUAAAAAAGGUGCUUGCAGCUGCAGAGACUACUGGUGACAUACUUAAUCCUGAGGAUAAACUAUGAUGGCAGAACCAUCUGUGUGGUUUUCCGGAUACAGCACGAUGAUAUAAUCGUGAACCCAGAAGAAAUUACUGUAGAGUUUAUUGGAAGCCUGCUUGUGUUGGCGUCCAACCAUAGUCCGUAGGACCAAUCGCUUUGUUACAUGAUUGAAAUUGAAAUUCUGAAGAGAACUGUGGUUUUAUGGUGUUGAUUAGACACCAUACCAUCUUGUGACUAAUGAAGCAUGAAUCAGGAUGACAGUGAUUAGGUGUCACUUUGGGAACCAUUUGUGCCUGCUAAUUAACAGUUUUGGGUCUCUCAGAUUUUCACUUGUUCUUGUCUUGGGGCUGGUAUGCUCAUCUCUUUCCAGCAACAUAAACUGCUGGGAGGAAUUACCUUUUCUCAGUUGCUCUGUAGCAUUUGAAUAUUUGAUGACUGUUGAAAGCAAUUAACUCCACAGCAGAACAUUUGUAGUAUGGCGGGAACAAGUGUAGUACAAAAAAUGCACUACUGAAACAUAGGUGGACUGUGGUGAUAAUUUUCAUGGAGACAUGGAGUAUGCCAUUUACGGACAAGUGGACUAUUAUUUAUGACUCGGAAAAUCGUCUCCAGAUGCAAAAAACUGCGAUCUGAUCUCAAGAAUGGCUCUGGAAGCUUUGUAUCUUAUGGGCCCUGAAGUCACUAUUCAUCCAAGCUGCAAAGGGAAACAAGGGUUUUUUUUAGGAGUAAAGGGAAACAAAACUGAGAAGGAACCUACAGAGACCAAGCACGAGGGCUCCAGCGCAAGAAACCCAGGGGUGGAAACGGAAGAAGAAAACAGAGCACCUGACGGUGUGGGGGGCGAGAGCGGAGCGGAGCUGCGGAGGCAAACCCACCCAGCACUCCAGCAGGCGAGCGAGGCGACGCCAGUUCACUCCCCUCCACCACCACUCCACCAGUCCACCACCACCACCGCGGCGGGAGGGAGACCAGAGAGCGGGGAGCGAGGGCGGCGAGACGACGCCCAGGCCCAGAGAUCCCGAGGACAGGCGGAACCUGAGAGAGAUGGGCAGGGCGCGCCGGUUUCUGCUGGCCGCCGCCGCCGCCGCCGUCUUCCUCCUCCUCCACGCGCCGCCGCUGGUGUCGUGCGCCGACCUCGACGCGCUCGUCUACAAGGGCUGCGCCAACCAGAGUUUCCCGG